rnacentral:rRNA from 1 species
UACAGAGGGUGCAAACGUUGUUCGGAAUUACUGGGCGUAAAGCGCGUGUAGGCUGCUUGGCAAGUCAGGUGUGAAAGCCCUGGGCUCAACCUAGGAAGUGCACUUGAAACUGCUGAGCUCGAAUGCUGGAGAGGGAAGCGGAAUUCUCGGUGUAGAGGUGAAAUUCGUAGAUAUCGAGAGGAACACCGGUGGCGAAGGCGGCUUCCUGGACAGUGAUUGACGCUGAGACGCGAAAGCGUGGGGAGCAAACAGG